rnacentral:rRNA from 1 species
AAAAUGGAGAGUUUGAUCCUGGCUCAGGAUGAACGCUGGCGGCGUGCUUAACACAUGCAAGUCGAACGGGCUCUUCGGAGCUAGUGGCGGACGGGUGAGUAACGCGUGAGAAUCUGCCUACAACAGUUGAUGCAUGCAUCGAAACGACUGCUAAUACCCGAUGUGCCGAGAGGUGAAACAUUUAUGGCCUGUAGAUGAGCUCGCGUCUGAUUUGGUGGGGUAAGGGCCUACCAAGGCGACGAUCAGUAGCUGGUCUGAGAGGAUGAUCAGCCACGUAAGCCACUGGGACUGAGACACGGCCCAGACUCCUACGGGAGGCAGCAGUGGGGAAUUUUCCGCAAUGGGCGCAAGCCUGACGGAGCAACGCCGCGUGGGGGAGGAAGGUUUUUGGACUGUAAACCCCUUUUCUCAGGGAAGAAGAAAGUGACGGUACCUGAGGAAUAAGCCUCGGCUAAUUCCGUGCCAGCAGCCGCGGUAAUACGGGAGAGGCAAGCGUUAUCCGGAAUUAUUGGGCGUACCGCAGGCGGUUAAUCAAGUCUGUUGUCAAAGCGUGGGGCUCAACCUCAUACAGGCAAUGGAAACUGAUUGACUAGAGUAUGGUAGGGGUAGCGGGAAUUCCAGGUGUAGCGGUGAAAUGCGUAGAUAUCUGGAAGAACACCAGCGGCGAAAGCGCGCUACUGGGCCAUAACUGACGCUCAUGGACGAAAGCUAGGGGAGCGAAAGGGAUUAGAUACCCCUGUAGUCCUAGCCGUAAACGAUGAACACUAGGUGUUGCGUGAAUCGACCCGCGCAGUGCCGUAGCCAACGCGUUAAGUGUUCCGCCUGGGGAGUACGCACGCAAGUGUGAAACUCAAAGGAAUUGACGGGGGCCCGCACAAGCGGUGGAGUAUGUGGUUUAAUUCGAUGCAACGCGAAGAACCUUACCAGGGUUUGACAUCCCCCGAAUCUCUUGGAAACGAGAGAGUGCCUUCGGGAGCGGGGAGACAGGUGGUGCCGUCAGCUCGUGUCGUGAGAUGUUGGGUUAAGUCCCGCAACGAGCGCAACCCACGUUUUUAGUUGCCAUCAUUCAGUUGGGCACUCUAGAGAAACUGCCGGUGACAAACCGGAGGAAGGUGUGGACGACGUCAAGUCAUCAUGCCCCUUACAUCCUGGGCUACACACGUACUACAAUGCUCCGGACAGCGAGACGCGAAGCCGCGAGGUGAAGCAAAUCUCCCAAACCGGGGCUCAGUUCAGAUUGCAGGCUGCAACUCGCCUGCAUGAAGGCGGAAUCGCUAGUAAUCGCAGGUCAGCAUACUGCGGUGACCGGGCCUUGUACACACCGCCCGUCACACCAUGGAAGUUGGCCAUGCCCGAAGUCGUUACCCUAACCGUUCGCGGAGGGGGGCGCCGAAGGUAGGGGCAUAAAAAACAAAAACAAACUCGUUCUCCGGCUCAUGGAGCAGCUUGUUUACCCUAAU